rnacentral:ncRNA from 1 species
CAAACGAGCGAUAAGACCGCUACAGAUUUCCAGAGCGUUCCCAUCCUUCGGUUGGUUAUAGCCCUGGUAGACCAAUCUGUAGGGCACGCUCAUUUU